rnacentral:tRNA from 1 species
GCGGUUAUAGCUGAGUGGUAUAGCAUGUGGUUAGCAUACACGAAGUCCUGGGUUCAAUCUCCAGUACUUCCA